rnacentral:rRNA from 1 species
CACGUAGGGGCCAAGCGUUGUCCGGAUUUAUUGGGCGUAAAGAGCGUGUAGGCGGCCAGGUAGGUCAGCUGUGAAAACUCGAGGCUCAACCUCGAGACGCCGGUUGAAACCAUCUGGCUAGAGUCCGGAAGAGGAGAGUGGAAUUCCUGGUGUAGCGGUGAAAUGCGCAGAUAUCAGGAAGAACACCCGUGGCUAAGGCGGCUCUCUAGUACGGUACUGACGCUGAGACGCGAAAGCGUGGGGAGCGAACAGG